GGGGUGGGGUGGGGUUUGUGAGGGAAGGGGAAGGGAGGGAAGGCAGCAGUAUAGUGAAAACACAAACCAAAUCACCACCUCCAAACAGAGGAGAGGAAAGGAGGAGAGCUCACAUCAAUAUCCAUAAAUCAAAUUAAAAUAUUAUCAAUUUGCAUCAAUAACCAUAUGAAAGAUAUGAUCAACCUUAAGAUCAUGCCAAUAGUUCUUAACUUACCUCUUGCAUUCAAUAUUUUAAGUUUCAAAGAAUUUGGUGAAUCUAGAGAAUAUCAGCCAUGGCUUGGAAAUCAAAGUUAGGAUUAGGAGUGGUUUUAGAAUUUACUUUUGAAUUUUGGAAAUUGUCUAGUGUGAAAUUCCCGAUAAUAAUGUUCCUAACUUGAGAACAAAAGUAAAUACCCACUACACAUUGUAAUGGGAAAAAAAAAGCACUUACACCUUCAUCAGUAUGAAUAGCCAACAGUCACCAGCUAAGUACGCUCACAGUGAUCAUUAAAGAGACUUAAAAGUUAAGUAAUAAUGUUAAUUCCCUUACUUUUUAUAAUCAUUAAUCAACAACUUCAUUCCAUAAAGCAGGGGAAACCCAUAGCCUACUGAGGAAGCGUUCUGAAUCCUAUUAUGAGUUUUUCUUGUUUUACCCAAUCCAAAAGCCAAUGCUGGGAUUUUUUACUUUGUUGCAUAUUAUAUAAGAUUCUUCACUAUUAACUGAAACAAACACACCAGGCCAUAACCAUACCACAAGCAUAACUGUGCAAGAUUUUGUAUAAACAAUAUCACUGCUACUAGAGUAUUGAACACGAACUAUAACUAACAUUACUUCCUAAUAGAAAAAUAAUGGAUUGAACACAAGGAGUCUAAGUAUCAGCCAGAUAAAAUAAAACGCAUGAGAAAAGCACAACACUCAAAAUAAAACUCUAAGUAAGAAUACUAAUAAGUAAUUGAACUAGUUUAGUAUUAUAGGAAGCAAUUAUUACCUCUAGAAUAGAAUAAACAUUAAGAAAACACAAGGCUUCGACACAAAGGCACCAUAGAAGGGGUAACUCACCUGAAAAUGUCAUUAUUGUCAAGCAUAAAAACACCAGGUCGGUCCCAAUCACAGUCCUCAACGACCACAAUCUUCCCAAGCCUUGCU
rnacentral:misc_RNA from 1 species